rnacentral:rRNA from 1 species
AGCUCCAAUAGCGUAUAUUAAAGUUGUUGCCGUUAAAAAGCUCGUAGUCGAACUUCGGCUCCUGUUGGUCGGUCCGCCUUCUUGGUGUGUACUUAUCGAACGGGAGCUUACCUCCUCGUGAACUGCCAUGUCCUUUACUGGGUGUGGCAGCGAACGAGGACGUUUACUUUGAAAAAAUUAGAGUGCUCAAAGCAGGCCUGUGCCCGAAUACAUUAGCAUGGAAUAAUAGAAUAGGACGCGCGUUCCCAUUUUGUUGGUUUCUGAGAUCGCCGUAAUGAUUAAUAGGGAUAGUUGGGGGCAUUUGUAUUCCGUCGUCAGAGGUGAAAUUCUUGGAUUGCCGGAAGACAAACUACUGCGAAAGCAUUUGCCAAGGAUGUUUUCA